GGGCGGUUAGCUCAGUUGGUAGAGCGCCUGCCUUACAAGCAGGUGGCCACUGGUUCGAGUCCAGUACCGCCCA
rnacentral:tRNA from 1 species